rnacentral:rRNA from 1 species
GAUGAACGCUGGCGGCUUGCCUAAUACAUGCAAGUCGAGCGAACGGACGAGAAGCUUGCUUCUCUGAUGUUAGCGGCUGACGGGUGAGUAACACGUGGAUAACCUACCUAUAAUACUGGGAUAACUUCGGGAAACCGGAGCUAAUACCGGAUAAUAUUUUGAACCGCAUUGUUCAAAAGUUAAAGACGGUCUUGCUGUCACUUAUAGAUGCAUCCGCGCUGCAUUAGCUAGUUGGUAAGGUAACGUCUUACCAAGGCAACGAUGCAUAGCCGACCUGAGAGGGUGAUCGGCCACACUGGAACUGAGACACGGUCCAGACUCCUACGGGAGGCAGCAGUAGGGAAUCUUCCGCAAUGGGCGAAAGCCUGACGGAGCAACGCCGCGUGAGUGAUGAAGGUCUUCGGAUCGUAAAACUCUGUUAUUAGGGAAGAACAUAUGUGUAAGUAACUGUGCACAUCUUGACGGUACCUAAUCAGAAAGCCACGGCUAACUACGUG